GAUGAACGCUGGCGGCGUGCCUAAUACAUGCAAGUCGAGCGAACGGACGAGAAGCUUGCUUCUCUGAUGUUAGCGGCGGACGGGUGAGUAACACGUGGAUAACCUACCUAUAAGACUGGGAUAACUUCGGGAAACCGGAGCUAAUACCGGAUAAUAUUUUGAACCGCAUGGUUCAAAAGUAAAAGACGGUCUUGCUGUCACUUAUAGAUGGAUCCGCGCUGCAUUAGCUAGUUGGUAAGGUAACGGCUUACCAAGGCAACGAUGCAUAGCCGACCUGAGAGGGUGAUCGGCGACACUGGAACUGAGACACGGUCAAGACGCCUACGGGAGGCAGCAGUAGGGAAUCUGCCGCAAUAGGCGAAAGCCUGACGGAGCAACGCCGCGUGAGUGAUGAAGGUCUUCGGAUCGUAAAACUCUGUUAUUAGGGAAGAACAUAUGUGUAAGUAACUGUGCACAGCUUGACGGUACCUAAUCAGAAAGCCACGGCUAACUACGUG
rnacentral:rRNA from 1 species